UCUCUGCACCACUCCCUACCCCAUCUCCAGCUUGUCAAUGUAAUUACCAAUAUUUGUUUGUAGUUACAUCAGUAUCAGUAUUUAUAACUACCUAAAUAUUGGUCCUUGCAUUUGUCUAAGUAUUAUAUCAGGAUUUCAU